CAUGAAGCCGGAAUUGCUAGUAAUCGCGGAUCAGCAUGCCGCGGUGAAUACGUUCCCGGGCCUUGUACACACCGCCCGUCACACCAUGGGAGCCGGUAAUACCCGAAGUCAGUAGUCCAACCUCGUGAGGACGCUGCCGAAGGUAGGAUUGGCGACUGGGGUGAAGUCGUAACAAGGUAGC
rnacentral:rRNA from 1 species